UGCAGUCGAGCGGAUGAAGAGAGCUUGCUCUCUGAUUCAGCGGCGGACGGGUGAGUAAUGCCUAGGAAUCUGCCUGGUAGUGGGGGACAACGUUUCGAAAGGAACGCUAAUACCGCAUACGUCCUACGGGAGAAAGCAGGGGACCUUCGGGCCUUGCGCUAUCAGAUGAGCCUAGGUCGGAUUAGCUAGUUGGUGAGGUAAUGGCUCACCAAGGCGACGAUCCGUAACUGGUCUGAGAGGAUGAUCAGUCACACUGGAACUGAGACACGGUCCAGACUCCUACGGGAGGCAGCAGUGGGGAAUAUUGGACAAUGGGCGAAAGCCUGAUCCAGCCAUGCCGCGUGUGUGAAGAAGGUCUUCGGAUUGUAAAGCACUUUAAGUUGGGAGGAAGGGCAUGAACCUAAUACGUGGGUGUCUUGACGUUACCGACAGAAUAAGCACCGGCUAACUCUGUGCCAGCAGCCGCGGUAAUACAGAGGGUGCAAGCGUUAAUCGGAAUUACUGGGCGUAAAGCGCGCGUAGGUGGUUCGUUAAGUUGAAUGUGAAAUCCCCGGGCUCAACCUGGGAACUGCAUCCAAAACUGGCGAGCUAGAGUAUGGUAGAGGGUGGUGGAAUUUCCUGUGUAGC
rnacentral:rRNA from 2 species